GGGCUUCCUGUGGAUCCCCAGGAGGCUGGGGUCCGCGGUGGAAUCGAGCACAAGUAUUAUGAAGACAGUAAAGACUAUAUCCUAGAGCCGCUUUCCCUGCCAGAGAGUCCAGGUGGCACCGCCGCUUUAGAGGGGUCUUUACCUGUGCCUUGUAUUUUCUGUGAAGAACAUUUUUCCAUGGCUGAACAAUACAAACGUUUGAAGCCCAUGAUUAUCGAGCAUAAGAUUGUCAUAGCUGAUGUAUAGCUCGUUGCAGGUUUCCGAAGGUACAUUUUAUACUGGAGGAAAUGGUUCACUGAACAGUCCAUCACUAAUUUUUGCAGUGUGAUAAGAAUCAAUGCCAAGGUUCCAUUUGAAGAACAAGACAACUAUUAUUUGUUAUACGAUGCAUUACCAGAAUAUAGAAUCCCCAGAGAAGAGCUUCAAACACAGAAACUGAAAGAAGUUCUGGAUCAGCAACAGGGAGAGGGAAAUGAUACAAGCUUUCAUGGCGUGUGCAUGUUUUGCAGUGAGGAAUUUCGCUGAAACAGAUCUGUUCUGUUGAACCACAUGGUCAGACAGCAUGCUUUCAACAUUGGUUUGCCAGACAACAUUGUAAAUUGCACUGAAUUCCUAUGCACAUUACAAAAGAAACUGGACAAUUUACAGUGUUUGUACUGUGAGAAGACCUUCAGAGACAAAAACACCCUUAAAGAUCACAUGAGAAAAAAAGCAGCAUUGUAGGAUCAAUCCAAAAAAAAAAAAAGAGAGAGAAUAUGACUGAUUCUAUGCCAUCAAUUACUUGGAACUUGGGAAGUAAUGGGAAGAGGUGCAGUCAGAAGAUGGCCUCAAGCUUCUGGACCUUCAGGAAGAUGACUGGUCUGAUUGGCAGGAGUACCCAGUCUCUGCUGUCUGUCUAUUUUGUGAAAAGCAAGAGGAAGACGAUAGAUAAACUGUAUGUGCACAUGAAGGACACACAUGAGUUUGAUCUCCUCAGAAUAAAGUCAGAGCUUGGAUUAAAUUUCUAUCAGCAAGUGAAGCUGAUCAAUUUCAUUAGAAGGCAAGUUCACCAAUGCAAGUGCUUCAGUUGCCAUGUAAAGUUCAAAUCCAAAGCAGAUUUAAGGACUCACACGGAAGACACUAAACACACUUCACUGCUUCCUGACAGGAGACAUGGGAUCAACUGGAGUAUUAUUUCCCCACCUAUGAGAAUGACACUCUCCUGUGUACACUGUCUGACAGUGAAAGUGACCUAACAGCUCAAGAGCAAACUUUAAAUGUUCCCACCAUCAGUGAAGACACGUCCAGACUGUGUGCUUUAAAACAGAGCAGUGUCCUCAACCAAUUGCUACUCCAGGGAUACCUGGAAAACUAG
rnacentral:lncRNA from 1 species